rnacentral:rRNA from 1 species
CUGGCUCAGAGCGAACGCUGGCGGCAGGCUUAACACAUGCAAGUCGAGCGGGCCCUUCGGGGUCAGCGGCGGACGGGUGAGUAACGCGUGGGAACGUGCCUUCUGGUUCGGAAUAACCCUGGGAAACUAGGGCUAAUACCGGAUACGCCCUUUUGGGGAAAGGUUUACUGCCGGAAGAUCGGCCCGCGUCUGAUUAGCUAGUUGUGGGGUAACGGCCUCCAAGGCGACGAUCUGUAGCUGGUCUGAGAGGAUGAUCAGCCACACUGGGACUGAGACACGGCCCAGACUCCUACGGGAGGCAGCAGUGGGGAAUAUUGGACAAUGGGCGCAAGCCUGAUCCAGCCAUGCCGCGUGAGUGAUGAAGGCCUUAGGGUUGUAAAGCUCUUUUAUCCGGGACGAUAAUGACGGUACCGGAGGAAUAAGCCCCGGCUAACUUCGUGCCAGCAGCCGC